UACAGAGGGUGCAAGCGUUGUUCGGAAUUAUUGGGCGUAAAGGGCGCGUAGGCGGUGCGGUAAGUCUUUUGUGAAAUCUCCGGGCUCAACUCGGAGUCUGCAGGAGAAACUGCCGUGCUUGAGUGUGGGAGAGGUGAGUGGAAUUCCCGGUGUAGUGGUGGAAUGCGUAGAUAUCGGGAGGAACACCAGUGGCGAAGGCGGUUGCCUGGAGCUUUGCUGACGCUGAUGCGCGAAAGCGUGGGGAGCGAUCCGG
rnacentral:rRNA from 1 species